AAUUUAGGAGUAAAUGCAGUUAUGUGACAGGCACACAGCGGAAGGCCACAUCCCAUCGCACUGUUAAGCACACUUUGACCUCUAAGGCACUUCCUGCAGUUCCCAUCAG
rfam:Otolemur garnettii clone CH256-410D4, complete sequence.